GUACGAUACAGCAGAAGGGCCCCGGAGAGUGGACACCACUGAGCCUCAUUGUCCCGGAGUGAAGUUAGUUAGGGGUGGAAGGCUGGAAAAUGAGCAGCUGCAGAGAGGCUUCAGGCAGACCCAGGGACAUUCCUGUCUUUUAGCCAAGAAAUGCGCUGGCGCAGGCGUAGAUGGCGCAGGACGCUCAUGGGAGCUUUUACCCUAACCUGCCUCCCCAGUCCCUACCUCCCAUUCUCAUCUGGAACUGGUAAGUUCCUGAGCAUCUUAGAUCUUGUUUAAAAAAAUUUUUUUUUAAUUUUAAGUUUCCUGUCUACUGAGCCCCUCACCUCCCAACCCCUACCAGGAGGGAAUAUUGCAAUCUGCAAGAAACAUCUGUGCAAUGAAGUGAAUUUUUUUUUUUCCAAACUAAAGGCCAUGGGUUGCCAAAUUGGAAAAAGAAAAAAGAAAAGAAAGACGGUACUAGUCAUUUCUCUCUGGUGUGACAAGAUACUUGAUAAGAAGCAAUUUAAGAAAAGAAAGGUUGAUUCUGGCUUGCAGCUAGGGGACGAAGUCCAUCAUGACAGGCGGGGGUGGGGCUUGUGUGUGUGUGGGGAGCUGGUCACGUCGUGUCACCAGCCCGCAAACAUGGAGUGAUGAAUGCUAACAGUCAGUCCCCUCUCUCCAACAUUUAGGGUGAGUUUCCCCCCUUCAGUUGACCUAAGACAAACCCUGGUGAGAUCUUGGUUCCCUUUGUGAACUGAAUUUACUGAGUGAAUUUAAGGGGACCGUGGGGAAGAAAUGACAAAUCCUUGAGGAUUAAGCUGUAACUCAGUAGUAGAUCACUUUCCUAUCAUAUCGGAGGCUCUAGCUUCAAUCCCCAACCUAAAAGAUAAAAGAAAAUGUUUGAGAUGUGUGGGACAGUGGGGCAGGGAAUAAAGUGUCACCAGGGACUGGGGAUAUGGCGUAGUUAGUACAGCAAGCAUGAGGACCUGAGUCUGGACUCCCAGAAUCCACAUGAGAGUCAGACAGUAUCGGCUGCCUGUAAUCUCAGCACCCAGGAGGCAGAGCCACAGGAUCCCAGAGCAAGCUAACAAGCUAGGCUGGCCAGAAUUGGUGAGCGCAGGGCUCAUACACAUCUGUAAACAUGUGUGUUAAUACACAUGCAAACGUACAAACAUAAAUGUGGAUCAAAUAGACAUAUACAUAUUCAAAGAAGGAAGAAAGGGAGAAAAUAGGAGAAAAGGAGAGAGGAGUGAGGGAAGAAAGAAAGGAGGGAGGGGGGAGAGAGAGAGAGAGAGAGAGAGAGAGAGAGAGAGAGAGAGAGAGAGAGAGAGAAUGAGAACAUGAGAAUCUUCAGGUGGCCAGAGGCAUCUUCCACCCAGGUGACAGUAGCAGACAGUGAAUGUCGCUCCAAUGUUUGGAAGACUCUAAACCCCCUGCCUCACGCUGGGAGGCACCUUUAAAACGGAACAUCAUGGAUGGAGCGCAGCCAUCAUCAUCUUUAGGGACAUAACCCUGAUCAAUAUCCAAUUUCCAGAGGUCGGCACCGAACACACAUUCAUACGAACAAAUGGAAUGAACCAAAGGGCUGUGUUCAUGCACACAUAUGUAUACGGGUAUAAUGGUCAUUGAAAAAGAGGUCUCGAAUUUGAAAGGGAGGGGCGUAUGUGGGAUGAGUUGGGGGGAGAGGGUGCAGGAAAAUGACUUUCAUAUAGAUAGUACUCAUAGAAGAAAUUCUCAAAACACUAAAGCUAAAAACAAAGCAAUGCUCAAGUAAAAUGCGCCACUCAACUCUGCUAAUGACAGACGUAUCAAAAGGGUCACGAUCCCUCCCCUAAGUUCUUCACACCCAUUCCUUGGGCAGCCGUGAAGGUUAUCUAUCACUAGUGUCACAGAGAGAGUCAUUAAAGCUGGCUCCCAGCUUCUGCUGGGGCAAAGCACUUCCCACAAGGCAGGUCUCACGAAACCAAUUUCACAGAUGAGAAAAAUGGAGGUUCCGAUAAGUCAAGCCACACGCAUCCCGUGUCCAAUAACCAGCUCUCAGAACAAAUCUUACUCUCUUGGUGAUUCCAGAUUGCACUUGGGAUGCAUCAUUAAAGCCUUAUAAGGCGUCGAAUAGCUGAAAAAGAUCAUUAGUAUUGAAAGUGCCGAGCGGGCCAUUUAUCACAGGAAACGUGUUCACCGGACAGAAAGCCUGCUGGCCUGGCAGAAGGACGCUCACGUGGACUCUGCGGACAUUGCCGAGCACAGCAAACACCCCAUGAGGGGCGGCGGGGCAGAGGCAUAGGUCAGUGGCUGCAGUGGAUGCUGGGGAACAACCCUGGCUGGCAGGUGUGGGGCAGGGUGUGGGUUCACAAAGGGAGCAGCUGAUUUUAAGUGAGGGCCAAAAUAAGACAAAGCCAUUGGUUGGAGAAGCUCGGAAAGUAGUCGCAGAUGCUGAAGAAAGCAGCAAAAUGGGUAUAAAUGAAAGGAGUUUUAGGGGAGACUAGGGCAGACCCAUCAGUUUACUGAUAUAAGGAAGAGGUCGCCCAUAAGAGCUGGUGUUGUUUGCAAAUCUUCUACAUGCCAGGCCCUGUGCUGAGGACUUCAUCAAAUCAUUCCAUGAGCUAUGCCAAGCUUUUAUUCCCUACUUCAUGGGUGGCAUGGUGAUCCCCUCAAGACCGGGAGAGUCCAAUUCUGCAGGUUUUUCUGUGCGUGGGAAAAAAAAACCACAAUCUUUGAAAGAACCAAACAAAUCCAGAUCUAAACCCAUCUUAACUGGGCACUGUGAGACCUUCUCUUCGAGUCCUGGAUCUGUCAUUUAUGGAGACAGUGGCAUCUUAUUCUCGUUGGUUAAGUUAAAUGGAGUGCAGGCUGGCGAGAUGGCUCAAUGGGAGGAGCCACUGCUGCCAAGCCCGACGACCUGAGUUCUACCCUCAGGACUCACAGAAUGGAAAGAGAGAACUGAUUCCCACCCACUGUCCUCUGACCUCCACAAUCAAGCCCGGUACAUGGGUGCCUGUGCAUUCACAAAGGAGCACAUCCAUGCACACACAUGUAUACAAACAUACAGAAUGAAUGAAUGAGUGAGUGAGUGAGUGAGGAGUGAGUGAACAGACAAACAGAUGUGCAUAGAGUACUUAUUACAGCAUCUGGUACAUAGUGAGAACUCAGCAAAUCUGGGGUUUUGUUUUCUUUUUCUCUUUCCCCUUCUGUAGAAAUGGUGUCCAUUUCCUCUUUAGUAUCUGUCCUUUUAGAUAACACCAGUAUAUAUUACACUAAUCUAAGAUGUGCCCACUAUAUAUUCAUACAUAUAAGUGAGGGACUUAGAGCAAGAGGAGCAUUAAGAAACAAUUCUACUAAGCUUAAGAAACACAAAAUCUCUCCUUUGCCUGAAACCCUAAUAUAGUAAAUUGGAUUCUGCUGGUGCUUAGCUGCACGUUAGAAUCAUUGGGAGCAUUAAAAACGCCCAUGGUCAAGCUGCUCCCCAAGAUGAGGUCCAGCUACCCAUAGUUUAAGGAACCCCUCGAAGGCUUAGGCUUCUCAUAAGCUGUGAAAAGAGAGAGCCAUUUAGCUUCUAAUGAAAUGGUUCUCGAAGGUCAGGCCAGGGACUAGCCACAUCAGCAUCCUCUUUGAAUUUGUUCCAAAUGAGGAUAUGCAGGCCACAUCUAGACCUUCUGACUCAGAAACUCGGGUGGUAGGGCUGCGACCUGUGUGGGCCCAAGCCCUCCACGACAAUCUGGUGUAGGAACAAGGUCUAGCCACCUGGUCGUCUUCUGUCCAAACCAACUGAUGAAGGUUUGAAAAACUGAUAAUCCUGUGGCUGGUUCUCUCUCCCUCUACAAUUCCCUAUUUCUGCAGAAAGCAGUUCCAACCUCAAAGCAAGUCUAACCACAUCCCUCUCCUAUCCUCAGGGGCACUUCAGUGCUUCCAGAGUAAAAUCUGCAUAGCAUGCAAGGUUCUCCCUGACUGCCCUGGGUUCGUCUUCCUACCUUCCUGUCUCCUCCUCCUCUUCCUCCUCCCCUCCUCCUCCUCCCCUUCCUAUCCCCUACUCCUCUCCUCCUCCCUCCUCCCACUCCUCCUUUCCUUCCUUCUCACCUCCCUGUCCCAUUCUCCUCCUCCCCCUCCUCCUCCUCACCUUCUGCCCCAUCUUCCUCCUCGUCCCCACCCCUCCUCUUCUAAACAAUGUGUUUGUAAUUCAGACCCUUUCUGAGGACAAAGAGGUAGGAAAAACCACUCUCCUUGGAUUCCUUUAAAAUUUCUGCUUUUCCCAGUUGUAUCUAGUCAUUUUCAUUCAGACCAAAGGCCUCUCCUUUGUGUUGAGGCUCCAGAUGCAGUUUCCUGCUCCAUGGUCUCCAUAGCAUCUCCAUGGUAAAGUGCAAAAUCUCUUACUGACUCAGUCCUAGUCAGACCACGCCCCAUGGUGGAUGCUCACAUGCCACGCCAUGCACAACUGCAGAGCUCCAGGGCGUGUCUGCCCCUCCACAGAACUUCAAGCCAGUGAUGUCUAAGCCAGGACAUCUCAGCGUCACAUGACCACACCGGUCACUUGGAGAUCUGGUUACAGUGCAGAGUCUAGCAGAGUAGACAUGGGUUAGAGUCCAGUUCUGCAUUUCUUCCAGGCUCCCAUAUGAUGCUGACAUUCUGGUCUAUGACUUGGGUGGUUAGAACCAUGAGCAGGACAUUUGCAGGUUAAUUCAUGUCGUGCUAGAGGAGGCCAUUUUGUUUUGCAGGAAUGCUAGUAACUGGUAAGAGAUGAUCUGUGCUGUUUACUAAUCUGUUCUCAUAACUUUCAUCAUCCUGGAGUUUUAUCUUUUUUUUUUUUUUUUGGCUUGUUUGUUUGAAAGAGACUGUAAUCAGUCCACUUGUGAGCCAGUCCCUGCACAGCUGCAGCCCCCGUCUGUGCUAGUCAGCUUUCUGUUGCCGGGAUAAAUAUCCGAAGAUAAGCAGCUUAAAAAGAUGAGUAGCUUAUUGCUGGAGGUCUCAGUUUGUUAGCAGCUGGCAGGGUUGCUUUUGGCCCUGUGACAUCACGACAGGUGCCGUGUCAGAGGAAACUGCUCCCCUCAUGGCAGCUGAGGUAAAGAGCAAAAGAAGUCCAGGACCCCAAUCACCCCUCAGGGGAACCCCAAUAUCCCCUUCCAGAUCUGACCUAACAUCUUCCCACUGGGACCCCACCUCCUAAAGAUCCAUCUGCUUUUCUAUGGUAACAAAUGGAGACCAGGCCAAAACCACACGGGUCUUUGGGGAGAUAUUCAAGACCCAAACCACCAGCACAAACAAUGAGCACUUCCUUAUCAGCAGCCUUUGUGUAGAGGCCAAGAACUAAGAGAGUUUUUUAAAAAAAGAAAACAAGGGGUUGGGGAUUUAGCUCAGUGGUAGAGCGCUUGCCUAGGAAGCGCAAGGCCCUGGGUUCGGUCCCCAGCUCCAGAAAAAACAAAACAAAACAAAACAAAACAAAAAACAAAAAAAGAAAACAAAAUCUCAAUGCAGGCUCCAUAUUCUGUUUGGGAACCAAAGUCUUGAAAGAAGAAGAGAGGCCAACAGGGUAUAAUCUACAACAUACGGCUCCCCCGUUUAAUCCUAGGUGUCUGCCAGUGAAGGCCCGAGUUCCUACUGGUUAAUGUGGUGUUCUCUCAGUGAGCAAUAGAAAACUACAGAAGAAACGAGACACUGACAAUGUCGGACCUGGGGUCAGAUCACCACAGUUCCAGCAGCAGGUGAAUGGUACUGACCGGUUCCUCUAGAGACGUGGGAAGGGGCUUCCAUUCAAAGAGACCGAACAGGACCUGUCCAAGCUUCCAGCUACACCAGGCAGCGUUUAACCCCAAGGCUCACACUCAGAGCAAAGAGUGGGGAAGCACAGUUAGGCAUGGCGAACGAGGCUCUCCAGAGACAUCACAGGGCUCUUAGUCAUCUAUAAUUCUGACCAGCUGUUCUAAGUGCACCGUUUCAUGUCAUAUAAGGUUGCAGGGGCUUAAUGGGUCAUUUCUGCAAAAAACCAAAACCAAACCAAACCAACAGAAACAAAACAAACAAAUAAAAACAAAAGAACAAACCUUUCUGGCAAAAUGGCUUCUUAAUAAAGCACACACCAUGGCUCCUUUUCAGGAGAUUCAAAUUGAUUACAUAUUGUGGAACGUUCAAGAACUUUAAAGUCAGUUUGCUCUUUUAAAAAAGGGCAGGGGGGCAAAACAACAAUCUGUUUUUCAACAGCUCACCUUACUGUCUGCAGCUCCAACCUCCAGGCCUGCCACACUGGCCGAUGCAUAGCCCUGCUCAGGUCCUGCGGGCAUGUCCCCGUCUCCGGUGCACAGUUCUAACUGUGUGGCCUUUGUGGUCAUUCAUGCCAUGCUCCCCUUGACCCUAAACCAUGUGUGUCUUCUCUGAUGGCUCUGCUCUGCCAUCACCAAGUGCCAGGGACCGCCCUGGGAGUGUGAUGGGGCACGUGGAGAUGAUCCUGGCAGCACCCACAAGUGCAUGGACCCUUAGAACACAGUGAGAGCGCAGAGGGAGUGGCCCCGGGACCAGGAAAUAUACAGUGGGCGGGGCUACCCUGCUGUGGCGCUAAUCUUCACUGUCAGCUUAGAAUCACCAUCACCCACCUGUAGAGGUGUCUACCUGAGAGGCCUACCGGAGGUGGGAAGACUCGCCCUGAAGGAUGCUGGAGCCAUUGUUUGGGUUGGGGUCCCAGACUGUAUAAAAGAAAGAAAGAAAGAAAGAAAGAAAGAAAGAAAGAAAGAAAGAAAGAAAGAAAGAAAGAAAGGAAGGAAGGAAGGAAGGAAGGAAGGAAGGAAGGAAGGAAGAAAGAAAGAAAGAAAGAAAGAAAGAAAGAAAGAAAGAAAGAAAGAACAGCACUGACCUCUUCUUUGUGACUACUGAUGUGGUGGGGAGUGGGGUGACCAGUUUCCUCAGCUCUUCCUGCCAUGUAUGUCCCUCCAUCAUAAAUGGUACCCUCAAAGUGUAAGCUACAAUAAUCCCUUCCCCACACUCGAGGGAGUGCGCACACACACACACACACACACACACACACACACACACACACACACAAAUAAGUAAGUAAGUAAAUAAAUAAAUAAAUAAAGUUAAGACAGAUAUUUUGGGUUUAAAUGGCCAAAAUAUAUAUUUAUUCAGGAAGCUCUUCAUAGUUGCACUGAAAUGCUUGUCCAUUAUUUUGCUCUUAGCUAUGUGCAUGUGAGUGUGUAAGUGUAUAUGUGCAUGUGAGUGUGUAAGUAUAGAUGUGCAUGUGAGUUGUGUAAGUGUGUAAGUGUAUAUGUGCAAGUGAGUGUGUAAGUAUGUAGGUGUAUAUGUGCGCGUGAGUGUGUAAGUCUGUAGUGUAUAUGUGCAUGUGAGCGUGUAGGUGUAUAUGUGCAUGUGAGUGUGUGAAUGUAUAUGUACAUGUGACUGUGUAAGUGUAUAUGCACAUGUGACUGUGUAAGUAUAUAUGUGCAUGUGAGUGUGUAAGUGCAUAUGUAUGUACAUGUGAGCUGUACAUGUGAAGGCCAGAGGAUACCUCAGAUGUCAUUCCUUAGGUUGUGUUAUCCACUUUACCUUCUCUCUCUCUCUCUCCCCCUCUCCCCUUGCCCCUCUCUCUCUCCCCGUGUGUGUGUGUGGGGUGUGUGUGUGUGUGUGUGUGUGUGUGUGUGUGUGUGUGUGUUGCUUUUGUUUUUGAGGCAAGGUCUCUCACUGGCCUGGAGCUCACCAAAUAGUCUGGAUGGCCUGAGCUCUAGAAAUACAUCUGUCUGCCUCCCCUACACUGGGAUCCCAUGCAUUUGCCACAAUGGCUGCCCCUUUUACAGGGGCUCUAGAGCUUGAACUCAGAUCCUCAUGCUUACAAGGCAAUUGAUUUUGUGGCUGAGCUGUCUCUCCAACCCAUCCUGCUUGCUUCUUAUAUGCAUCAAGUUGUGCUGUGCUCUACACAGCCUCAAAUGACUACUCAUGUGUGUGACCGCUCUAUGACUACACAUGUGACUGCUCAACUGUCUCUUGAAUGGCACUAACUCUGAGGACCAUUGCUUACUGCAAACUCUCCAAGGGGAAUGAGACUUGAUCGCUAUUUUUUAAUUUCCUUUCUAAUUCCUGACAUGAUCUUAAAUAUAUACUUGAGUUUUGUAUUUGCUUUUGUUCUCAUGACUUCAGUUAUUCUGUCUUAAACUAUGUUCUACCAAUCAUUUAAACACGUAUAAAGAAUGUCUCUAUUAGGCCCAUAAGAAGAAAUAAGAUAUCAUGGUGCCAAUUAGAUGCCCCACCUCACCUCUUCCCACUGUGGAUUCUGGCGUUUGGCUUAGGGGAGAUGGAAGAGACUCCUUUCCAAUGACAGUUCCGGUGCAAGUUUCAGGUCUCUCGUCUAUUUAGGCCAUCGGCCUGCAGGGGCUAGAAGACUCAUUACCAGGGCCUGUGUUGAUCCACUUCCCUGGAGUCCCACCUUCAUCCCUGCAAAGAGGAGACUCCACCCCAGCUGUGGAGCAAGGUGGGGGAUGAUGGGAUAUUCUUGUUCCUUCAUGGCCAUUCUUUAGAUGUCACGAAGUGUCCAUUUUCCUGACACUAAAUUCUGAAGCUCUCCUGUUGCUGUCCUAGAGUCCUCAGUAGUCAUAAAGGACACAGGGGCAUUGCUUCUCUGGCUUUUAAAUAUAUGGGUGAUGCCACACUGUAUCUUAUUGCAACUUUUUCUGGCUCAAUGUUAUCUGUGAGACUCAUACAUGUUUAUGAAUGCAGCUCAAGUUUAUUGGUUUGACUGCCCCGAAGUAUUGUUACCUGCAUAUGAUACAUUAGGAUACAUGGUUGCUUUUAACUCUGCUGCAACAUAUAGCAUGGUGUGGUUUCUUUGUAUACGUGUGAAUGCUUUAGAGAGCGACCUAUUGCUGGGGCUGUUGCUGAGCUGAAGGAUAUGGUUAUAUGGAAGAGAUAACGCUUCAGUGUUGUCCAGCAUUGUAACAACCUUCCACUGGCAGCCUGGCGCCUAUUGGUUCAUACUGUUUGACACCAUCACUUUCAGAUUUAAGGAUCUGAUGUAACCUUCAUGCUGCUAUUAAAACACGCUGACAAAGUUCUUAGAGAGAAGCAAAACUAUUAAACAAAUAGACUUUGUUUUGGAAAUUUCCAACUGGCUACUUAAAAUUAACUGACUGUGUUAUUUUUAAAUUGUGUAAAUGACAACAGUCACAGUAAGGAAAAUUCUGUGGAACAAAUACAAAAUUGUCCACGUGUUAUUCCACCGGGACAUUUCAUUUCAUUUUCGCACAAUGCACGGUCAUUGAUCUGGCAAUCCCUUGUUGCUUUGUCCAAAUUGAAUAAUUUUAUUAGUAUAUAAUAAUUGUGCAAAAUAAUGGGUUUCAUUAUGCCAUUUCCAGACAGCACAUAAGACUUCAAGAACAUUCACCUCCUCUGCUACUGUUUUUAUUCCCCUUUCCCCUUCCAAAUCCAUUUUACUUCUCACCUUCUCAAUCCCCCAGAGUCCUGGGACUCCACAUAUGGGAAAAGACAUACAAUACUCAUCUUUCUUUGUGAGGCUGGCUUAUGUCACUUAACACAAAAGCCUAUACUUUCUGUCCAUUUUCCCAUAAAUCUCAUGACUUCACUCUUCUUUAUGUCUAAAUAGCACUCCACUGCCUGUGCUUCCCACGUUAAACUGAAUGAGUGUGUAACUAAUUCACUACUGCUGUGUUUUAUUCUGGAUGUGUGUGUUUCCUAAGGAGGUUUAGUGUGCUUUCCCAGGCUUGUAUUCUAAAGGGUCUGAGCUACGCUAUAGGUAAUGAGAAUGCACAGAGUAAGUUUCUGGGUUAGAGUUGGGUUUGUUGCUGUGGUUGGUUUUAGAGACUGUCUUGAUACAUUGUCUAAGAAUGGCUCUGUUUCCAUAGUCCUAUGUUGACAAGGCUGCAAAGCACACUAUCACAGAAAUCGAGCGUUCCCAGUGUGAGUGAGUAGUUGGUAAAGCAGUCUCUCCUCCCCUUUGCUUUGUUAUGAGUUUGCCACUUUACAAAUGUCCUGGUAAAGAAAACCCACUGACUACAGGUCAUCACUGCUAAAUGUAAUCUCAGGAUCCCAUGACAACCAAAGCCCAUGAGUUUAGGGUUGUAUAAAUGGGUAAAAAAGACAAUCCUGGGGCAUUCCAAUUCCAACUUGCUUUUAUUCGGGGGUCUAAUUUGAGAUGUAGAUGUGGUGACGACUGUGACAAAAAUCUUCUUUGGGCAGACAAUCAUCCAAAUGAUCAAAGUGAGUGGGCCAAGCUGUCAUGGGGAAACCUGUGGCCUCUUCUUGCUCAGUGUUUCCAUUCCUUCUGAGAGAUGAAAUGCAGCCCUAAUUUUGAAGGUCUGUUCCUCGAUGUCUCUAUCCUGAAGGUCUCUCCCUCAGGUUUGGGACUGAGAACUACAUUUAGUUCUAGUUCCUGCCCCUGCCCUUCUAAUAAGUGAUUGACGCUUUUGGCUGGAACCACCACUGCAGGGAGUCUCAUCUGCCAGUGAGGACGCUUCCCUCCUGCAAACUCAUCUCGCAUCUUCACCAUCUGUAAAGCAUGACAGACACCCUGCUCUUAGCAUCAUGAUAUUGGAUAAUUCCUCCCAAGCCUAUCCCUGUAGGUGCCAGGUAUGAAACAAAUACAAGAAACAAUGAUAACCCUUGCUGGCUUCAACAGUCAAACUAAAAGUCCAACCUAGAGUGAUCUAGGAGGUCCAUGGAGAAAAACAUGACCACUGGUAAAACUGUGCAAUAUAUAGCACUGGGAACACAAGUCUCUCUGGUCUACCCAUGAUUUGAAAUUCCUUGCUUAGUGGCUUUAGUAGAUAGAAUUACUAUAUAGUCAUUUGAAGAGGGUAAUGACUGUGUGCAAUGUCUGGGGUCUACUCAGAAUUCAGGUGGCCUUUUUGUAGCAUUCAUUUACAGGACAGCAGUCCUCCCCUACCCCCAUCUACCUGCUCCUGACUUCCCCCUGGUAAGCUUUUGAUUGCUCAUGCCAGCACCUACUACCCUUCAGAGGCUGCCCGGUGAGUACCUGAGAAGUAUGACCUUGCCCUAUAGCAGCUCUCGGUCCAUCCAUCAGGGAUCUGGGUUGGAGGAAGACCCAACUUCAGCCUCUGAUCCGCAUAGCUCCGCCUCCUAACUCAGAAGCCUACCAGCCCAGGCUUGGGCUGCCCUCUAUGGGACAGUGCUGAGAUAGCACCUCAGUCAGCUUCUACUCCUUCCCUAGGAAGCUUCCUCCACCCCUUGAUGGAUUCUCCUGUGACUAUUCCACGAAUAGAUGUCAUGGAUGUAGGUCGUCAGCUCCGGGAGAGCUUCAGGGGAGGAUGGCUAAGUACCUGUCUCCACGGGAAAAGUCAUGUUCUUUUGCCCUGCACCUUGGAAAGUUACUAAAUUCCUAAAUCUAAAUUUUCUUAACAAUUUAAAAGUCACUAAAAGUAUGUAACUGCAGCAUGUUAUAAAAGCCAAGCCUGCUAACUUGAGGUCAAUCCCUGGAGUACAUGUUUGAAAGCCCAGUGUGGAAGCAGGCAUUUAGAAUCUUGGCAUUCCUACGGUGAAGUUGGAGACAGGAGAAUAACCCAGAACCUUGCAACAAAGCCAAUCUGGGGUAUGCACGCCUCCUUCUCCUCUUCUUCUUUCUCUUCCUCCUCCCCCUCUUCUCCCUCCUCCUCCUCCUCUUCCUCUUCCUCCUCUUUUUCCUCCUCCUCUUCCUCCUCUCCCUCCUCCUCCCCUUUCUCCUUAUCCUCUUCCUCUUCCUCCUCCUCCUCCUCCAAACAAGGCAAAAAGAAAAGACUGGGUCCUCUGACCUCUACCCACCCCCUGCCCCACAUGACACACUCACAUACAUACACAUCAUACACACUCAGACAUACAACAAUGACAAAGUUUAACAUGCUUUUCAAUGACACUUCCAUAUUUCUUUUCUUUUAUCAGACAGGGUUUCAUGUAGCCCAGGCUGGCCAUGAGCUCCUGACCCUCCUGCCUAGACCUCUGGAGGGCUUGAAUCCCAAACAGACGCCACCAUUCAUGGCCAUGUUUCUCUUUUAACUUAUCCAAUAAAAUCCAAAUCCCACAGUGGUUUGAUACCAGCUAUCCACUGUAUAAAAUAUGUUUAUGUCAGAUAAUUUACAGUGUUCAUUUCUCUCCUUAAACUUCUACUUCCGUCCCACUUCCAGCAUAGGAUUUCAUCCCAACUGUAAAAGGCUCAUAUGCUUCAAACUUCCCGACCUGCCCAAGGAUGUAGCUCCUGGAAGGUGGUGGUUCCAUUCUCACUCCGCCUCCCAGCUCCCUGACUCCAUACCAAAUCCUCAGAGCUACUUUCUUCUCUGGUUGCUCUGAACACAAUCAGCUCCCUUCCUACCUUUCCGAGAUUUUACCUCAGAUUUUAUCUCCCUUGCCCUCUUAUCUCAGGGCAUUCCCUGUGUUCCUGGAUAAGCAGCAGCUCUUUUGUUUCUUUAUUAUCAUCUUCUCGGCUUCUCAGUUUUCAUCUCCACAGGAAAAGACCAGCCGGACAAGAGUACUUCAGGGUCCCAUCAAGGACACUGCAGAUUACCUUGCUUGCCGUUCGCUGGAGCUGAGGUCUCUUCAGAACACGGCUCUUCUUCAUCAUUCACCAUGAGUUCUCCAGAGGAGAAGAGCAGUGACUCGCUAACUUAUGUGGCUCUACCAUAUGGGUUGGAAUGUAAACCAAAUGGUCACCUCCGUGAUCCUCCAACACUACAGACAAGUCUUUCCUGGCUUUCAGCUCUUGACCAGCCGGACUGUUCUUGCUCGCAGAAACCUCAUGCAGCUUGGCCGUCAAUCUAGAUGAAGAAAAGGCACUAGGAGAAAAAGCUGAGUGGACUCCUGGGGCUCUCCAGUUCACCAUCACAGCCUACUUCGUGAGAUCAAGGCCAGUGAGAGACCCUGACUCAAAAACAAACCCCAAACAAAGGAGGAUGAUAUCUAAGGAACAAGAGCUUUGGCCAGGGAUCCAAGCUUGGGUUAAAGUUCAUCAGACACUUACGAGGAAACCAUGCUUUUAAAGGCAAGAUUUAAUGAAAUUCACAGUUUUAUGUAAAAAACAACUUCAAAGGAAAAAGCACACUGAUGCUGUGGAAAGUAGAAUCCAUGAAGAGCCUUUACCUCAGAGACCUUGUUAGAUUCCUUCGCCUAACAACCUGCCUUCAGCCAGUCACACGCCCAUCAGUCGAUUAACAAGCGCUUGUAAAUAUAAGUGCUUUGCUACCCACCUGAGGCUUCUUCUGUGCAGCACGUCCCCCCUCUCUGAAUCAACAAGCCUGCAGUCGUCCUCCAGCAUCUGUGGCGGCGGGUACUGAUUAAAUCCGCCUAUGGAGGGAACGAAGUUAUAGUUUGAUUUCCAAACUAGCAAUUGGGUUUUCUAGGCAAAGAGAGGCCCAACAGGAAUCCUCUCAGGGCAAUAAAAUGUUAGUAACACAUUUCAAGAGCAUUUGGCCACGGUGAAAAUGGAAAAUACCGAUAACUUGAAAUGACAUUCACAACUUCAGCUUCUGAGGAUUUGGGGAGGGGGGGCACCAAAGUGUUACAGGGAUCGUGGGAAUAGGCUCAAAGUUAACCCUUCAGGGCUGGGCUAAUUGUAAUGCAGGAACACAUGAGUACUGCAUGCCCAUGCUAACACAAUCUGAAAGACAAUCUAUUCUGGUUCUCUUUGGCUUUUUCUCCCUGACUUAAACUACUCACUCAAACAUAGAAAA